rnacentral:rRNA from 1 species
UGGGGAAUUUUGGACAAUGGGCGAAAGCCUGAUCCAGCAAUGCCGCGUGUGUGAAGAAGGCCUUCGGGUUGUAAAGCACUUUUGUCCGGAAAGAAAUCCUUGGCUCUAAUACAGUCGGGGGAUGACGGUACCGGAAGAAUAAGCACCGGCUAACUACGUGCCAGCAGCCGCGGUAAUACGUAGGGUGCAAGCGUUAAUCGGAAUUACUGGGCGUAAAGCGUGCGCAGGCGGUUUGCUAAGACCGAUGUGAAAUCCCCGGGCUCAACCUGGGAACUGCAUUGGUGACUGGCAGGCUAGAGUAUGGCAGAGGGGGGUAGAAUUCCACGUGUAGCAGUGAAAUGCGUAGAGAUGUGGAGGAAUACCGAUGGCGAAGGCAGCCCCCUGGGCCAAUACUGACGCUCAUGCACGAAAGCGUGGGGAGCAAACAGGAUUAGAUACCCUGGUAGUCCACGCCCUAAACGAUGUUAACUAGUUGUUGGGGAUUCAUUUCCUUAGUAACGUAGCUAACGCGUGAAGUUGACCGCCUGGGGAGUACGGUCGCAAGAUU